rnacentral:lncRNA from 1 species
GCGCAAAUAGACGAUCCAAGGCUUGAAAAUACAUAAAUAUAACGAUGAAAAUAUACACAGAUAUAUCAAUGCAUGAUAAAUAAAGUGAUUAUACUCUUCAGUAACAGGAAUCCUACUAGUAGUGUAAUCUGUAGAAGACAGCAUUUAUGAAAGUUUUGUGUGCUCUACCUGAUAGAGUACAAUUAUAUGACAUCUUAAAGAGAUCGGUGAGGCAUUAUUACGGUCCACAUAUGAAA